UUUGAGUGUAUACGUGUUCAACCUGUGUACAAAGACAUGAAAGACAGUUGCAAAAAUAAAUCCUCUUUUACAACCUAGAACUUAUUUUUCAGUAUGAGUUUUGAUACACACAAGAAAGAAUAUG
ensembl:snoRNA